GAUGAAGAACGUAGCGAAAUGCGAUACGUAAUGUGAAUUGCAGAAUUCAGUGAAUCAUCGAAUCUUUGAACGCACAUUGCACUCCUUGGUAUUCCGAGGAGUAUGCCUGUUUCAGUAUCAUGAGCACUCUCACAUCUAACCUUUGGGUUAAAAUGUGGAAUUGGGAUGCGCCGGUUAUUAUAACGGCCCUCCUAAAAUUCAGUUCUUGGCUGCUUCCUACUACAGCAGUUUGGCCUAAUAGUUUUGAGUCUUCGAUUCAAAUCUUUGGCUAACAUUUGCUUCAGGAUGUCAGUCUUGAUAUACAGAAAUCUCAUUCAAACUUUGCUCUGAAAUCAGGUAGGGCUACCCGCUGAACUUAAGCAUAUCAAUAAGCGGAGGA
rnacentral:misc_RNA from 1 species